rnacentral:tRNA from 1 species
AAAGUUUUAGUUAAACAAUAACAUUAAUCUGUCAGAUUAAAAUUUAAAACUUUA